GAUGAACGCUGGCGGCGUGCUUAACACAUGCAAGUCGAACGAAGCACUUUAUUUGAUUUCCUUCGGGACUGAUUAUUUUGUGACUGAGUGGCGGACGGGUGAGUAACGCGUGGGUAACCUGCCUCAUACAGGGGGAUAACAGUUAGAAAUGGCUGCUAAUACCGCAUAAGCGCACAGUACCGCAUGGUACGGUGUGAAAAACUCCGGUGGUAUGAGAUGGACCCGCGUUGGAUUAGCUAGUUGGCAGGGUAACGGCCUACCAAGGCGACGAUCCAUAGCCGGCCUGAGAGGGUGGACGGCCACAUUGGGACUGAGACACGGCCCAGACUCCUACGGGAGGCAGCAGUGGGGAAUAUUGCACAAUGGGGGAAACCCUGAUGCAGCGACGCCGCGUGAGCGAAGAAGUAUUUCGGUAUGUAAAGCUCUAUCAGCAGGGAAGAA
rnacentral:rRNA from 1 species